rnacentral:rRNA from 1 species
GACGAACGCUGGCGGCGUGCUUAACACAUGCAAGUCGAACGGUGACGAGGAGGCUUGCUCCUCCGAUCAGUGGCGAACGGGUGAGUAACACGUGAGCAACCCUGCCCCAGACUCUGGGAUAACAGUUGGAAACAGCUGCUAAUACCGGAUACGAGACGGAGAGGCAUCUCUACCGUCUGGAAAGUUUUUCGGUCUGGGAUGGACUCGCGGCCUAUCAGCUAGUUGGUGAGGUAAUGGCUCACCAAGGCGACGACGGGUAGCCGGCCUGAGAGGGCGACCGGCCACACUGGGACUGAGACACGGCCCAGACUCCUACGGGAGGCAGCAGUGGGGAAUAUUGCACAAUGGGCGAAAGCCUGAUGCAGCGACGCCGCGUGAGGGAUGACGGCCUUCGGGUUGUAAACCUCUUUCAGCAGGGAAGAAGCGCAAGUGACGGUACCUGCAGAAGAAGCACCGGCUAACUACGUG